rnacentral:rRNA from 1 species
AUACGUAGGGUGCGAGCGUUAAUCGGAAUUACUGGGCGUAAAGCGUGCGCAGGUGGUUUUGUAAGUCAGAUGUGAAAUCCCCGGGCUUAACCUGGGAACUGCGUUUGAAACUGCAAGGCUAGAGUGUGGCAGGGGGGGGUGGAAUUCCGCGUGUAGCAGUGAAAUGCGUAGAGAUGUGGAGGAACACCGAUGGCGAAGGCAGCCCCCUGGGUCAGCACUGACGCUCAGGCACGAAAGCAUGGGGAGCAAACAGGAUUAGAUACCCGGGUAGUCC